rnacentral:rRNA from 1 species
GACGAACGCUGGCGGCGUGCUUAACACAUGCAAGUCGAACGGAAAGGCCCUGCUUUUGUGGGGUGCUCGAGUGGCGAACGGGUGAGUAACAAGUGAGUAACCUGCCCUUGACUUUGGGAGAACUUCAGGAAACUGGGGCUAAUACCGGAUAGGAGCUCCUGCUGCAUGGUGGGGGUUGGAAAGUUUCGGCGGUUGGGGAUGGACUCGCGGCUUAUCAGCUUGUUGGUGGGUUAGUGGCUUACCAAGGCUUUGACGGGUAGCCGGCCUGAGAGGGUGACCGGCCACUUUGGGACUGAGAUACGGCCCGGACUCCUACGGGAGGCAGCAGUGGGGAAUAUUGCACAAUGGGCGGAAGCCUGAGGCGGCAACGCCGCGUGCGGAAUGACGGCCUUCGGGUUGUAAACGGCUUUCGCCUGUGACAAGGCUUGAGUGACGGUAAUGGGUAAAGAAGCACCGGCUAACUACGUG